CAGUAGCCGCGGGAAUACGGAGGGUGCAAGCGUUACUCGGAAUCACUGGGCGUAAAGGACGCGUAGGCGGAUUAUCAAGUCUCUUGUGAAAUCUAACGGCUUAACCGUUAAACUGCUUGGGAAACUGAUAACCUAGAGUAAGGGAGAGGCAGAUGGAAUUCUUGGUGUAGGGGUAAAAUCCGUAGAGAUCAAGAAGAAUACCCAUUGCGAAAGCGAUCUGCUGGAACUUAACUGACGCUAAUGCGUGAAAGCGUGGGGAGCAAACAGGAUUAGAUACCCCCGUAGUCCCUGUCUCUUAUAC
rnacentral:rRNA from 1 species